UGGUCCAGAUUUGUCUCCUUCUUGGAGACCCUCUUUGGUCGGUCUGGAGAGAGAUUGCAAGAACCAAAUUUGGCCUCGAAAGGAGAGUGCGGAUGGCUCUGCUUCCGAGCCCUCUCAUUAUCUUCAAGGUGGAGAUGGCUAUUACUUUGGAAAGGAUCAUCCUAGCCAUCUAGUGGUCCUACCACAAGGGGAAGGAUCCACCAUUGCAACUCCACCAUUAUAAUGAGAGCUUGCACUUGUUGUGUUAG
rnacentral:lncRNA from 1 species